rnacentral:lncRNA from 1 species
GUCCUCGACACAUCAAAUCAGUGGACUAUAAUAUCAUCAUGGUUAAAUAGAUGUACCAUGGAAUAAAGACAGAAGAACAUGAAAAAUAAUGCUUGAAAUUGAAAAAGGAUUACAGAACCCCUUCAACAACCUGAAAUUAAUUUAUAUAUGGCAUGCAAAUUUAAAAUCUGAGAACAGGAACAGCAUCUAGGUUUUGGAAAUUCCUAUACAACACCCAGCCAAGAUCAAAAGUAAGGUAGAUUGCCAACCCAACCUGAACUUAACUCUCCUAUACAUAUUACAAAUAUGCAUACCACAUAUGCUUAAUGACAAAUGAAACCAUCAAAAUACUAAAUUCAACAUAACAAGCACCCC